rnacentral:rRNA from 1 species
UACGAGAGGCCCAAACGUUAUUCGGAUUUACUGGGCUUAAAGAGUUCGUAGGCGGCGCAGAAAGUAGGGUGUGAAAGCCCUCGGCUCAACCGAGGAAUUGCGCUCUAAACUACUGUGCUUGAGGAACCUAGAGGUGAGCGGAACUGAUGGUGGAGCGGUGAAAUGCGUUGAUAUCAUCAGGAACACCGGAGGCGAAGGCGGCUCACUGGGGGUUAUCUGACGCUGAGGAACGAAAGCCAGGGGAGCGAACGGG